rnacentral:rRNA from 1 species
GAUGAACGCUGGCGGCGUGCCUAAUACAUGCAAGUCGAGCGAAAAGACGAGGAGCUUGCUCCUCUCACGUUAGCGGCGCACGUGUGAGUAACACGUGGAUAACCUCCCUAUCUGUCUGGGAACACUUCGGGACUCCGGCGCUUAUCCCGUAUGAUCUAUUGCACCGCAUGGUUCAUUAGAGAAUGACGGUUGUGCUGUCUCUUAUCGCUGCUUCCGCGCCGGAUUAGCUAGUUGUUAAGGUAACAGCUUACCAAGGCGACGAUGCGUAGCCGACCUGAGAGGGUGAUCGGCCGCACUGGAAGUGAGACGCGGUCCAUACGCCUACGGGAGGCAGCAGUAGGGAACCGUCCGCAGUGGUCGAAAGCCUGACGCAACGACGCCACGUGAGUGACGACGGUGUUCGGAGCGUAAAACUCUGUUAUUGGUUGUGAACAAAUUUGGAAUUAACCAAGCACGGCGUGACGGUAACGGAUCAGAAAGCCACGGCUAACUACGUG